CCUCAGUUCACAUUUAUAUAUAAUAGAAACAUAUACAUAUACCAAAAGGCGGGAAAAGAUUAAACCCUAGUACCCAGCCCUUUGAGAAAUUACACCUUCUUCUUUUCAUCUUUCUCUAACAUUGGCUUUUCGAUUUCUAUCUAAAAAAUGGGAAUUAAGGGUUUAAUGAAGCUGUUGGCUGACAAUGCUCCAAGUGGAAUGAAAGAGCAAAAAUUCGAGAGCUAUUUCGGCCGUAAAAUAGCCAUCGAUGCUAGUAUGAGCAUUUACCAGUUCCUGAUUGUGGUAGGACGAAGCGGUACGGAAAUGCUCACUAACGAAGCUGGGGAAACUACUAGUCAUUUGGUUGGGAUGUUUUCGCGGACAAUUAGGCUUUUGGAAGCUGGAAUCAAGCCAGUUUAUGUUUUCGAUGGGAAGCCCCCUGAUUUGAAGAAACAAGAACUUGCAAAACGUUACUCUAGAAGGGAAGAUGCCACAGAUGACUUGGCUAAGGCUACAGAGGCUGGCAACAAGGAGGAUAUUGAAAAAUUCAGCAAGAGAACAGUAAAGGUUACACCGCAACACAAUGAUGAUUGCAAAAAGCUUCUCAGACUGAUGGGGGUACCUGCUAUUGAGGCUCCUUCUGAAGCAGAGGCUCAGUGUGCUGCACUUUGCAAGGCAGAAAAGGUCUAUGCUGUGGCCUCAGAAGAUAUGGAUUCCUUAACUUUUGGAGCUCCAAAGUUUCUUCGCCAUUUAAUGGAUCCUAGCUCCAAAAAGAUACCAGUGAUGGAAUUUGAUAUCUCCAAGGUAUUAGAGGAGCUCGAACUUAGUAUGGAUCAGUUCAUAGACUUGUGCAUUCUUUGUGGAUGUGAUUACUGCGAUAGCAUCCGAGGCAUAGGGCCCCAGACUGCUUUGAAGCUUGUACGCCAACAUGGGUCAAUGGAGAGCAUAUUGGAGAAUAUUAACAAAGAAAGAUAUCAAAUACCUGAUGAUUGGCCUUAUGAAGAGGCUAGGCGGCUCUUCAAGGAACCAUUAGUUGUUACAGAUGAUGAGCACACUGAACUAAAAUGGGCUGCUCCGGAUGAAGAAGGGUUGGUUAACUUUCUGGUAAAGGAAAAUGGAUUCAACAUUGAUAGAGUUACAAAGGCAAUAGAAAAGAUCAAGACAGCCAAGAACAAGUCUUCUCAGGGGAGGUUAGAAUCAUUCUUUAAACCAGUUAGCACAUCUGCUCCAGUUAAAAGAAAGGGAACUAAAUGUGUUCUUGUAUCUCCAAUUCCCGUUACCAAGUUUAAGACACUCUCUAUACAAUCCAGACCCGGGGUCCUUGGCAGACCAAUCUUCCCAUCUUUAGAAUUGGGAUCAAAUUACUCCGUGCCGUUAUCCAGACACGUCUGCUUCGGCACAUGAUGCUGAAACAGCUCAGACCGCUGAGAAAGGAGGUGCUAACAAGAAAUCAAAGGCUGGUGGUGGUAAGAAGAAAAAGUAGUUAGCAUCAAGUCAAAGCUUGCAGUAAUGUGAUGGUUUCGUACUUGGAAGGACAGUCAGAGUGGUCUAGUCAUAUUGCUGCUUGCGGAGUCCUUGGUAGCUGGUGCCUCAAUUUUGUUUGUUCUUCUGGAAGAAAAUAUUCCGAUUAGUCGGGCCUCCUUUCAAAUGUCUCCUUCCUUUCCUUUGUCCCGUAUUCUUCCCCGUUAAUGUAUAAAUCUAGAUUAUCCUGAGGUUACCAUCCUGUGUGAAUUGGCAUUUCUGUCAGUUGCAUGUACAAUUUAAUGCAUAAAUCAAUCCUAAUCUAGCCCUUUGGUGGUUGA